UACGUAGGGAGCAAGCGUUGUUCGGAUUUACUGGGCGUAAAGGGCGCGUAGGCGGCGCGGUAAGUCACUUGUGGAAUCUCUGAGCUUAACUCAGAACGGCCAAGUGAUACUGCAGUGCUAGAGUGCAGAAGGGGGCAAUCGGAAUUCUUGGUGUAGCGGUGAAAUGCGUAGAUAUCAAAGAGGAACACCUGAGGUGAAGACGGGUUGCUAGGCUGACACUGACGCUGAGGCGCGAAAGCCAGGGGAGCAAACGGG
rnacentral:rRNA from 1 species